AAGAGUACAUACUGACUAUGGCAGAUGGAUUUUCUACACUGUAGGCAAAUCACAAGUGAUGUUUGGAACAUCGUUAAACUCUAUAUGUAUUUAUUACUAAUGACUAACUGGAUCAAACGGUUGACUCAGUGAGAUUUCCCUGCAAAGGGAUGAACUACAGACUAUUAUGUGCAAGAACCCUGAGCGUGCUUCUCCGUUACUCCUCACAUGAACGGACUUGUUGAAAACAGAGACUCGCAUAUUGUUCUAAUAAUCUAGCGCGUGACCUCUGACACUUUGAGAUUCCCUGCGUCUGAGGACCCUCCCGCCCCCCUAAAGAUCACAAUGCCAGUCUCCUGCCUCUGCUCCGGCUGUGACCUCUUGACCCUUUUCAGGACCCCGCUCCUCAGCGUGCUUCCCACAGUGUGUGCGAGCUGCAGCAGAUGUGGAGGGGAGAAGGAGCGCGAGGUCUGACUCGCUGUCUCCCUCCUGUGGCCGCAGGUCAGACUCACCAAGCCAAACCGCAAUCUGAAGUGGUUUCUGAGAAUUACCCACCCAUGAAGUAGCUCAGAGCGACCCCGCCUAAAGGGAAGGAAUGGGAGGAGCUGCCUUUGACCCCCGUUGCUAUGGAUGAUGUCAGCAUUGAGACGCCUCAUGAAUACUUCCUGCUGUGGAGGGAUCAGGGGUUUCUUAACCUUGGAUGGGAAAGGAGAUUAACUCCUUUUAUAUACUGAAAACAUGAAGAGAGACACGUGGAAUAGGUUUAACCGCCAUAUAUUUAUACCUAAUUUAAUACUGAGAUAUUAAAGGAAGAUUUUGUCUAGUGACGAGAUAGUGCAACAAACUUCUGUUAAGAUCUAUACUUAAAUCAUCUUAAAAUAGAAAUGAGCUGGAAACUCAUUGGAUAUGAACGAAUUCAUUCAUUUAGUCAUGCGCUUUCUAUCGAGGACAUGUGGAAAAACGGGUAUCUUCAAUUUCUUUACUAAUGAAAUUUCCAUUGAAGGCCUAUAAAUAAAAUGUACUUUUUUUUCGAAAUAUUACAUUACACUUAUUUGUGUGUAUUAAAUGUCACCACCACUGGCUUUGUUAUCGUGGUCUGAAUCAACUGACCUUUUGGUAUAUUGGUGCUUAACGAUACGGAGAAAUAAAGUUGCCUCGGCAACAAGCGG
ensembl:lncRNA